rnacentral:rRNA from 1 species
CAGGCCUAACACAUGCAAGUCGAACGGUAACAGAAAGCAGCUUGCUGCUUUGCUGACGAGUGGCGGACGGGUGAGUAAUGUCUGGGAAACUGCCCGAUGGAGGGGGAUAACUACUGGAAACGGUAGCUAAUACCGCAUAACGUCGCAAGACCAAAGAGGGGGACCUUCGGGCCUCUUGCCAUCGGAUGUGCCCAGAUGGGAUUAGCUAGUAGGUGGGGUAA